CCAGACUCCUACGGGAGGCAGCAGUGGGGGAUAUUGCACAAUGGGGGGAACCCUGAUGCAGCGACGCCGCGUGGGUGAAGAAGUAUUUCGGUAUGUAAAGCCCUAUCGGCAGGGAAGAAAUUGGACGGUACCUGACUAAGAAGCCCCGGCUAACUACGUGCCAGCAGCCGCGGUAAUACGUAGGGGGCAAGCGUUAUCCGGAUUUACUGGGUGUAAAGGGAGCGUAGACGGCGAUGCAAGUCUGAAGUGAAGGGCGGGGGCCCAACCCCCGGACUGCUUUGGAAACUGUAUGGCUGGAGUGCAGGAGAGGUAAGUGGAAUUCCUAGUGUAGCGGUGAAAUGCGUAGAUAUUAGGAGGAACACCGGCGGCGAAGGCGGCCUGCUGGACCGUGACUGACGUUGAGGCUCGAGAGCGUGGGGAGCAAACAGGAUUAGAUACCCCGGUA
rnacentral:rRNA from 1 species